UACGGAGGAGGCGAGCGUUAUUCGGAAUUAUUGGGCGUAAAGGGCGCGUAGGCGGCACGAUAAGUCAAAGGUGAAAUCCCUCGGCUCAACUGAGGAACUGCCUUUGAGACUGUCGAGCUUGAGGCCGGGAGGGGGUAGCGGAAUUCCCAGUGUAGCGGUGAAAUGCGUAGAUAUUGGGAGGAACACCAGUGGCGAAGGCGGCUACCUGGACCGGUUCUGACGCUGAUGCGCGAAAGCGUGGGUAGCAAACAGG
rnacentral:rRNA from 1 species